rnacentral:misc_RNA from 1 species
UUUUCAGGUAAGUCAAGAAUUAUCCCGAUACACGUAUAAUCGAUAAAUUUUCAAAUUUAAUUUGAAUUUUCAAACUCGAUUUUUUAAAAUAUAAAGCCUACAACGUAAUUUUAUCAUUCUUAAUUUUAGUCUUAUUUUGAGUCAUAGGGUCUUCUUUGACUUCGCUUGUGCCAUAAAUUUAGGUCCACGAUGUACAGCAACUGUUAUUCCUUUCAAGUCAAGGCAUAUGUAUUUGAAAGAACUUUAGUUUCAUUCGAGAUCGUAUUUCAAGUCAAGCAAGAUAAUAAUAAGUUCGCAUUGAAACUUGUAGGAAUAUUUCAAAACACGUAAACACCAGGUUCACACUGGUAAAGUUGUUUGAAUUCAGAUGCUUGAAUGAAUUAUAGUGUUUGUAAAUAUAAAGACAAAGUUCUUCCAAAGUUCUUCAUAUAUAUGGAAAUACAAUAUGUUUUCACUGAUGAUCAACUUUAAAAAUUGGAAAUAGCAGUGUUUUAGGAAUUCCUUUUGUCAUAUGUACAUCUUGCUGUUUUAUCUUUCAA